GAUGAACGCUGGCGGCGUGCCUAAUACAUGCAAGUCGAGCGAACGGACGAGAAGAUUGCUUCUCUGAUGUUAGCGGCGGACGGGUGAGUAACACGUGGAUAACCUACCUAUAAGACUGGGAUAACUUCGGGAAACCGGAGCUAAUACCGGAUAAUAUUUUGAACCGCAUGGUUCAAAAGUGAAAGACGGUCUUGCUGUCACUUAUAGAUGGAUCCGCGCUGCAUUAGCUAGUUGGUAAGGUAACGGCUUACCAAGGCAACGAUGCAUAGCCGACCUGAGAGGGUGAUCGGCCACACUGGAACUGAGACACGGUCCAGACUCCUACGGGAGGCAGCAGUAGGGAAUCUUCCGCAAUGGGCGAAAGCCUGACGGAGCAACGCCGCGUGAGUGAUGAAGGUCUUCGGAUCGUAAAACUCUGUUAUUAGGGAAGAACAUAUGUGUAAGUAACUGUGCACAUCUUGACGGUACCUAAUCAGAAAGCCACGGCUAACUACGUG
rnacentral:rRNA from 1 species